GAAGGUGGGAGAGAGAGAGGAGUGUGUAGCUUCAUACCAGGGAACACCAAGGGUUGUUGGCGACCACCAGAAUCUGUGAAGAGGCAUGGAAGGAUUUUUUCCUUGGUGACUUUAGAGAGAACACAGCCCUGGCAACAUCCUGGUUUUGGACUUGUGGCCUCCUAAAUUCCAAGAUAAUAAAUUUCUGUUAUUGUGAGCUCCCAGUUCAUGGUAGUUUGUUACAGCAGCCCUCAGAAACUAAUACAGCUCUGAUGUGCCUUGAUGGGGUGUUCUUUGGGGUUUUUUGGGCUUGGAUUUUGUUAAGCUUCUUAAAUCUGCUUAUAGUUUUCAUCAGGCUCUGAAGCUUUCUGCCAUUAAUCUUCAAUUAUUUUUUUAAUCCUCUCCCUUUCUUUGGGGACCCCCAAUAAAUGUCCCAUUUAUAUUCUGAUCAUUUUUUCAGCCUUUUUUAAAUCUCCAAGAUUUAUUUUAGAUAGUUUCAGUUGUUCUAUUUCUAUGUUUUCAAGUCUUCCAGUCUUUUCUUUCGCAAUGUUCAAUCUGCCAUUAACCCAUCCAAAGCUAUUUCAUCUUGGAUGUUGUGAUUUUCAUCUCUCUUUUUUUUCCACCUCCUGGUGUUUGCUUGGAGGCUUUGAUACAUCUUCUGUGAAUCUACUGACAUGUUCAAUCUUUCCUCUGGUUUCUUGAACAUAUUCAGUGCAUUUACAAUAAUUGUUUAAAUGUCCUUGUCUACUAAUUCUGUCAUCAGUGUCACUUCUGGGUCUCUUUGAUUGACUGAUUUUUUUCAUUAUGGGCCUUAUGGAAUCACUUCUUUGUGUUUCUGGUAAGUUUUGAUUAGACAUGUAAGACACUGUUGAUUUUUAUCUUUGGGGUGCUAGAUGUUUUUGCCUUCCUAUGAGUUUUCCUGAGAUUUGUUCUGCAAUAUAGUUAACUGUUCCUUGGAAAUCAUUUGGUCUUUCCAGGGUUGACUCAAUCCUUCCAGCUUUCUGAGGUGGGCCAGCACAGAGUUCCAUCUCUAGGACUGGUACUUAACCUCCUAGGAGCACUCUGCCCAAGCCCUGGGGAUCAGGUUGCUGUUCUGGUUGGUGGAAGGAGAAGCCUUUCCGAGCCCUGUGGGCACUCUGAAGCUUGCCCCUCCAACCCUUUGGAUCCUUGAUUCUGUCUCCAUUCUGAGGCUGUGGAAGAAUCAGGUGGGCAGUCCCUCCUGCCCACUGGGUGGAAUAGCCAUAGCACUCUGACACUACUCUCAGGGAACUCACAAAAACAUUUAAAUUUAUUUUGUUAUUUGAAGAUAAAAGGCAAAAUAUGUUUUAAUAUCUGAUCAUAUGUGUAUCUUCACGGCAGUGGACUCGGGAAUGUGUGGCUGUGUGGCUGAGGGGCCUGUAGAACUGUAAUGCAGGUGGCCAGGGAGAACAUCAUGGUGAAGACAGCCUCUUUCAGCAGGUGAAGAACCUGAUUUUCCGGAAAUUGAGCCAAGAGUAAAGCCUGAGCCCUGAGUUUGGCUCACAAUGGUGGCAAGAGAAAGAGGAUGAGCGGUGGCCCAAGGGACGAAAGCAGUCAAGAGGCCCUGCCCAGUGGAGUAGAGCGUGGAGCAGGUGUUUGAGGCUGGCACACCCAGGGCAGGUUCGCGAGUCUCUAAGCCCAAGUUUCCUGGCCUCUAAAAGGGAUUCGGGGCUAACUGCCUUGCAGGGGAGCCCCGUGUGGAAGCUUUGCGGGAUGGACACCCCUCUCUCAAGUUUAGAUAUUAGGCAAACGAGAAGGCCCUGAGUAAUGGAAACCAAGGCACAGAGAAGGGGUGGCAUUAGGGUCACAGCAUGAACAAGACUGGGAAAGAGCGUGGGGCUGCCUCAGCCUGCUUUCCCGCAGGAAGAAAUCAAGGCAGCAAGACUUUGAGGCCCUCAAUCACAGGAGACCACAGGUAAGGACCACCUGACACUCACGGCCCAGAGUCGGGGAACUAAAAUCUCCAGACUUCAGCCAUGGGAUCCUGGGAGAGCUUGGGAGAGCUGGGGAGGUGCUGGGGACCUAAACCCGUUCUGCCGUGUGGUACUACAUGUGGGUGAUGGUAAUGGUACAUCCAGGGUGGCUGUCAGUGACAGCAGCUGGGAAGUCCUCAGCCCAGGGUGAUCAGGCACAUGCUAAGUCCGGAAAUGUGCUAAUUUUUAGAGCAAAUUUUACCAGACAUAGACUGACCUGCUCCUCAAUCUCUUUCUCUCCCUUUUUAGGAGACUGGCUGGUUUGGUCCCAUCUGUCUGGGCCUUGAUUAGGAUAACUGUCCUUGCUCCCGGGUUUCAGGACCAUCAGUCUCCGUACCCCAGCCCAGAGGGCGCCUGGAGUGCUGCGGGCUGAGACCAGCCGGACGUCCUUGGGAGGCUCGUUCUUCAUGCUGCGCAGAACCACUAGGCUGGGCAUCGAGGCCUGUGUGAAGGCCCAGGCCCAGGGCCCGCCCUUAGGCCUCCGUCCCAGAUGGAAUUAAUGGAAUUGGAUUGCGUCUUUGUCAUCUUGUGCUCACAGACCCUAGCUGGCUUGCGACAAGAAAGAAUUAGGGCAUAGCUCAAACAGAAAAGUGGAAAAAGAAACGGGCGAAAGCCCACAGGGAGGACUCUCUAUUUCCUUAUCUGUCUGCCGUCCCAAAUAGCUCUGCUCUCCUCCCCCAUUUGUGUUUAUGUGUCACGUUUCUUUCUCUUGCAGCAGAUGCCACUGGGCUGACUGUCCUAAACUGGGUCAGAGAGUGGUGGUGAAUUGACACAGGUCCCUCCGGCGGUAUCUUCCUGUGUCCUCACUCCCCCUCCAGUCCCCCAGCCUGCUUUCCGUGGCAUCUGAGGGUGGUCCCUGUCCCCAGAACCACAGGGACUCAGGGAGUUUCCUGCCACUCCAGGACCUCAGCGCUCGUAGCUGGGAGACAGGAAGGCAUCCUUGACUGUCCUCAACCCUUUUGCUUCUCCAGGGUCCCUAGCUUCUCGUUUCAUCUCACUAAGCACUGAUAAAUGAUUUCAGAGAACUCCAACCCACUUGCCACAGCAGCCAGGUAACCACACUGCCUUCUGGACAGCGCCCUGCCUGCCCUGGGGCCUGUUUCCCACAGCCAGGCUGCCCCUGGUGUAGUGUGGCAGCAAUGCCGCACUGGGUGGAGAAUCAAAUCAGCCAUGUUUCAAACUCCAUGGAACAGAGACCAAAGAAAUCAGUGGAUUGCCCAACGUAACGCAGUAAAGGGCAGAGUCCAGGGUCACACUCCCACUGACCAUUCCUACUCCAGUGCACACUGUAGUCUACCUUUUGCUGCUUCAUUUAAAGCAUGCACUACUGAGAGUCUAGCUCUUUUCUUGAUGUCCUCUGUUAAGAAUCUAGGUCCAGGGCUGGGAUUGUAGCUCAGCGGUAGAGUGCUUGCCUUGCAAGCAUGAGGUACUGGGUUCGAUCCUUGGCACCACAUAAAAAAAUAAACAAAAAUAAAGAUAUUGUGUCCAUCUAUAACUAAAAAAAAAAAGAAUCUAGAUCCAAACUUUUCCUUGAGAUGCCCUUCAAAAGAAUAGAUAUGGCAUGCGGGUGACCAGUGUUUGAGAGGGGAAAUUAUGUUACACAAAAGAUUACCAUCAGGAAUAUUGAAGCAAAAAUUCUGAUAGGUCCCAUGGACUUAGGGGUCAGAGGCUUUGCCUUUCCAAUCGGAGUUUAAAGAUAAUUGCUUGGUCUUCACCUCUGCAUAGAUGCCAUGUUGGCAGACCAGUGUUCCACUGUGCAAGUGAAAGGCUGGGUAGAUACUCUAAAAUGACAGCACAGGACAUCUGGGGUAACAAUGAGGACUCGAUGAAUCGACAUUUCAAAGAAUCGGCACAGUUAGGUAACUGACAUUACCAACAGGAUUUGUUGUUGUUCUUCCUCUCUCCUGGGGGACAUCCAAUUGGCUGAUCCCCAAGCUGAAAAUCAGACAUGGUCCAGACACGUGAACACUAACCACAGGGGCAGAGAGAAAC
rnacentral:lncRNA from 1 species